rnacentral:rRNA from 1 species
GUGAACGCUGGCGGCGUGCCUAAGACAUGCAAGUCGAGCGGGCCGCGGGGUUUUACUCCGUGGUCAGCGGCGGACGGGUGAGUAACGCGUGGGUGACCUACCCGGAAGAAGGGGACAACCCGGGGAAACUCGGGCUAAUCCCCCAUGUGGACCCGCCCCUUGGGGUGUGUCCAAAGGGCUUUGCCCGCUUCCGGAUGGGCCCGCGUCCCAUCAGCUAGUUGGUGGGGUAAUGGCCCACCAAGGCGACGACGGGUAGCCGGCCUGAGAGGGUGGCCGGCCACAGGGGCACUGAGACACGGGCACCACUCCUACGGGAGGCAGCAGUUAGGAAUCUUCCGCAAUGGGCGCAAGCCUGACGGAGCGACGCCGCUUGGAGGAAGAAGCCCUUCGGGGUGUAAACUCCUGAACCCGGGACGAAACCCCCGACGAGGGGACUGACGGUACCGGGGUAAUAGCGCCGGCCAACUCCGUG